UUAAGUUCAGCGGGUAGUCUUACUUGAUUUGAGAUCGAGUUUGACAGAGACAAAACCGUUGCCGGCCUUUUCUCUGUGAAAUCCUGCAUCAGUCAGCCAUAAUGGUCAAAACUCCCUUUAUGUUAGCUGCAGCAAAAAGUAAUAAUCCGUUUGACGGGACUAAAUAAAUAUGCUUUUAGCUCAGGAGAUUGUCCAGCUGC
rnacentral:misc_RNA from 1 species